UACGGAGGGGGCUAGCGUUGUUCGGAAUUACUGGGCGUAAAGCGCGCGUAGGCGGCCAUUUAAGUCAGAGGUGAAAGCCCGGUGCUCAACAUCGGAAUUGCCUUUGAGACUGGGUGGCUAGAAUCCAGGAGAGGUGAGUGGAAUUCCGAGUGUAGAGGUGAAAUUCGUAGAUAUUCGGAAGAACACCAGUGGCGAAGGCGGCUCACUGGACUGGUAUUGACGCUGAGGUGCGAAAGCGUGGGGAGCAAACAGG
rnacentral:rRNA from 1 species